GAAAGUAAGCAUUGAUUAAAUGCCUUAAACAGAUUGAUGUGGCUUCAAGGGGAAAUUCAGGAACCAAUUAACAUUCUAGUCUAGUGAUGUUAAAAAUACAUUUAUUCCUAUUCCAUGGCAUAUAUGUAGAUUUUCCAGUUUGUGACAUCAGAAGUUGGGAAGGAUACUGAAACAUUUUCCAUGACAACCAAGAUCCAAAAGGGUUUUAAAAUGGUCCAAUGAUGUGCCAAAUCUAAUAAAAAAAUCUAUAAAAAUAAGGAUCUAGCCCUACUGUUGUUAAACAAAAUCAGCUUCACAAUGAAAGCAUUGAGCCUUACUAGAGAGUAGUGUGUGUUUCAAAUGUUGUGAGGAUAUCAGGGACUCUAAGGACGCUCUUAAAAUGGGGCAGCUUGGUGGGAAUUCUCCUACAUUGGCCUUGGAGCUGGGAAGAUCUGCUUUCAAAUCUUGCCUCACUAGCUGUAUGAGCCUGAGCAGAUGACUUAAUCUCUGUGUGCUUCAGAAGGAGGUAAGGCUUGAUGACAUGUAAGGUCUCUUCAUACUCUAAAUCUAUGACAACCUUCUGAUCACCAUCCUCUGGCUGCCUUGGAGUCGUUUGCUGGCAGGAGGAGUGAGUAGACUGGCUCACAGCAUUCUGUUUCAGUUAGACCACAUGGGAACCACUCUGUCCAGUUCUAGGUUUCACAUUUUAUGUCAGUCCUUGAUAAAAUAGGUAUGGGAACUGGUGUUACAUGAGGGAGAAUGACUUGGGAAAAGCAGAGAAAACUCCAUGGGGACAUGAAAAUAGAUUCAAAGUAUUUGCAGGCUAAAGAGGGAUUAGUAUUAUUUUAGGGAGACCCAAAGAGCAGAAGCAGGAAAAUGAGGUGGAAGGUGCAGUCACCUAACAGCUUUAGAGCUGGCCAAAGGAUGAAUAGGUGGCUUCAAUGGGUUUCGAAAAAUCGAAUCUGCUGGGACAGGUCCCUCUUCAAGAGCAUUUCUUUAAGGAAAAGCUGGACAAUUGUCCAAGAUGUUUUAGAGGAAAUAUUGAGUUUGGAGUUAGGCAAAAUGGACCCUGACCCUCUUCCAGCUCUGAGAGGGUGAUAUUUUGCUUGAAAGAUCACACACAUUAAUCCAUUUGGAAAACAGUGAGGGAGACAUUCUGCGAUAUAUUAUGGACAUUCAUUUUAGAACUCCUUUUCUUCUGACCCUGACUAGUUUCUGAGGUGCAUUCUUUCCCAAGAUUGGGGCAAUGUGUCAUUGAAGGAAAAACUGUUCAGGCCUCACAUGGUAGAGGCGGGCGUACGGAAGGAUCAAGGAUCAGAACAGAAAUGUUAUCGGCUAGACUUUCACUGUGAAGAAGAUGAGAAUGAAUGUGACCUCUCCCUGGGACAGAUGACACAUUGUCAAUGAUUUUCUUUGGAUUGGUGGCCACGUUUUGGCAGCUCAGGGAUCUUUUGGAGAAAAAUGAAAGGGGAAAGAAGAAUUGCAUGAAGGGAAAAAACAGGAUUUUGAGAGCAGGCUGGAAUUGAAGAAGUCAUCUUGUCCAACCAUCUGACCUGAGAAGGAAACUGACUUCAGAGAAUCCGGGUAACUAAGACACAGAGGGGCACAUUUGGGACUAGAAUCCAAAUUUUCUGAAUUUCUGAAGUGUUGUUUCAAGGACAUGUUUCAUUCCUCUACUUUGCUUUAUUAUGCUACUAAAUAGUUAUACUGGAUUGGUGGUAAGAACAGGAUUUCACAUUUUGAAAUAUUGUUUCUCCUACUAUUCCUUGGACUUUGGGCAAAGGAUUUUCAAGAGUCUCAGUUUUCUUUAUCUGUAAAAUGGGAAGGAGGAUUGGAUUAGAAACUAGAAGAAUUCCAUAUUUUGUUCUAGUCUUAAUCAGCUAUAAGUUAAUUUCCUCAUUUUGUAGAGGUUUCAUUUACUGCCUCCAAGUAACUAUAAGGGAGGAAUUUUACUUGUAAUAGGCUCUGUAAGUAAAUGUUUAUCAUUGUUUAGCAAGCCUAUAAAAGAUUUUGUAAAUUGGCUCUGCCUUAUUGAUCAUUAUCUUUCAAACUCUCUACUAUAAUUAAAGGAAAAUUAAAGCUGAUGAUUGCUAAUGUGACAUUUUAGGGCUGGCUCAGUGGAAAUGGAAUAGUGUUGUCUAUCUGUGGUCCAAAACCAUCACCAAUCCAAUUCCAAAGUACUGCAGUGGUAAUUGAAAGCUAGAGGAUGUUGCUUCAGCAGAAUUGAAGAUGGAGAUUGAAAGGAGAGGAUGUCAAAAUGCAGCAAAACUUAAAGCACUUCCUUUCCAAAUUCUGGGCAGAUCGAACAUUGUCACUGUCUGAUCAGUGGAGAUGGUCCAAAGGAUGCAGUUACUAAGAAAGACCUUCAAAUGUUCUGCUACUUGAGAAAGAAAUUGAAAGGAAAAAAUGAAAGAAAAAGAACUCUACAAAACCCAAAAGUACUAGUGUGUGAGUUUCACAACAGGAUUUUUUUCCCCAUCACAAGUUUUUAGACUCAUUUAUAUUCUUGGACAAUCCAAGGGUCCAUAUCGCUGGGUAGCUUAUAAAAUUAGUUACAACUUCCAGAUUUGGCUCUCUGUGUGAGGUAAGUUUUAUAAGCUAGCCUGGGACACUCAGUGCAGCAUAUCGGAGACCAGAAUGCAGCCCAAGAGGAUAACAUUUCAACAUGGUUUUCAGAGUAACUGGGUUUGAAAUUCUUGUAAUAGUUUAUAGGACUUGUUUGUCUAGCUGUUUGUGUUAUACAAGGAAAAAUUCCCUUUUGUUGUAUCUGUGGAAGCUAGCAAUAAACUUUCUUUUUAAAGACAUAUAAAAUGAAUUUGAGUUUUUAUAUUCUUGAAGUCAAAAAAGCUGAAACAUCUCAAACUCAAAUUUGCAAACGCUUUAGUUAAGGAAUCAUAUUUCAAGGCUAGGUUUUACUUUCCCUGAUCACUGUUAAAUCACAAUGGUUUUACAACAGAUGGAUACAACUCAGCAUCUACCUGUUUCUCAGAGGAGCCUUUGUCCUGAGGAUUUUAAAGAGAUGUUGGAAAAAUCAUUAAAAUAACAUGUGUUCCCCCAAUUUUAUUUUUCUUCUUUUUCUUGUUGGCUAUGCAUAUUGUAUGGCAUAUCGCAUAUAAAUAUCAAAUGAUUAAUCAAUCAAUAAAUAUAAGUAUUCAUCAAGUGACCUCCAUACACUAUUUUAAAGAGGAGGAACCUGAGACUGAGUUAAAGGACAUGCAGAGCCACAUAGUGUCUGAGGUGAUUUUUGAACUCUGCUCCUCCUGAACUCCAAUAUCCUGCUAUACAUAUGCACUGUACCACCUAGCUGCUUAAUAUUUUAAAAAAUAAUUAAUGAAUUGCUUAUUUUAUAUAAUUAAGGAUAGUUAAGCAGUCCAGAGAUAAGGUAUUAUACAUCUAGAAAGUUUUAUUUAUUUAUUUUAGCGGAUAUUUUGUCUAAGAAAAAUCAAAGUAACUAAUUUUAAUGCCAAUGUACUCUAGUCUUACAUGUUCUAAAACUAAAACAAUAAUAGUGAUGAUAAUUAUGAUUAAUAGGAUUUAUUUUAAAAUGACAAAAUUAUGAAAGAAUCUUAAAAUCCUUUUCUUUCCUUUGGCUACAAAUAUUACAUCAUGUAACAUAAAAUGCUAGUAGUAUAAAAUUUCACAUUUCAUAAAUAAAUUCAAGGAUUUGAAAUGUACAAGUUUUAUAUUUCUAACUUCCUCUUUCUUUCUUGUCAGUGAGUCUAAUGUAACAAGAGAAAAAUGGUCAGUAGAGGCAGCUAGGGGGUAGAGUGGAGAGAGCACUGGACCUUGAAUCAGGAAGACUGGCUGAAAUCCAGCCAUCAACUCUUACCUAUCUCCCUCAGUUGCUAUGAGGAUCAAAUGAGAUAAUGUUUGUAAAAUGCAUAGUACAAUUCCCAGCUCAUAUUAAGCAUUCAAUAAAUCCUUUGCCCCCACCCUCCAAAGGGGAAAAAUUUCUCUUAACUAAGUCUCUCCUUAGCCUAGAUUUAGUUCAUCGUUCAACAAAUAUCUAUUGAUUAUCUGUUGCCCUCAAGAUACUUUGCAAGGCACAAUGAGAAAUACAGAGAUAUUAAAGAUUGGCUUCAAGGAACUAGCUAUCUUUCAAAAGAAGAUCUAGAUAGGUGUGUUUGAUUCCAUGAGAGCUGAUGAGAGCAGAAGUAAUUUUUAUUUUACUUAAGAAUAAUUGUUUUUAACUAUGAUUAAAU